CCUGAUAAACACAUUAGUGAGGUUAAUUAGACAGACUAGACCUGAUAAACACACUGGACUGAGGUUAAUUAGACAGACUAGACCUGAUAAACACAUUAGUGAGGUUUAUUAGACAGACUAGACCUGAUAAACACAUUAGUGAGGUUAAUUAGACAGACUAGACCUGAUAAACACACUGGACUGAGGUUAAUUAGACAGACUAGACCUGAUAAACACAUUAGUGAGGUUUAUUAGACAGACUAGACUAAACACACUGGACUGAGG